UUACUGUGUGUACUUACAUAGGCUAAUUU
rnacentral:sRNA from 1 species